AGCGAACGCUGGCGGCAGGCCUAACACAUGCAAGUCGAGCGCCCCGCAAGGGAGCGGCAGACGGGAGAGUAACACGUGGGAACGUACCCUUCAGUUCGGAACAACCCAGGGAAACUUGGGCUAAUACCGAAUACGUCCGUAAGGAGAAAGAUUUAUCGCUGAAGGAUCGGCCCGCGUCUGAUUAGCUAGUUGGUGAGGUAACGGCUCACCAAGGCGACGAUCAGUAGCUGGUCGAGAGGAUGAUCAGCCUCAUUGGGACUGAGACACGGCCCAAACUCCUACGGGAGGCAGCAGUGGGGAAUAUUGGACAAUGGGGGCAACCCUGAUCCAGCCAUGCCGCGUGUGUGAAGAAGGCCUU
rnacentral:rRNA from 1 species